rnacentral:antisense_RNA from 1 species
CUGACGGCACGGAGCUUUCCGGCUUCUAUCAGGUA